UACGUAGGGUGCAAGCGUUGUCCGGAAUUAUUGGGCGUAAAGAGCUCGUAGGCGGUCUGUCGCGUCGAAUGUGAAAACCCGGGGCUCAACCCCGGGCCUGCAUUCGAUACGGGCAGACUAGAGUUCGGUAGGGGAGUCUGGAAUUCUUGGUGUAGCAGUGAAAUGCGUGGAUAUCAAGAGGAACACUCGUGGCGAAAGCGAGCUACUGGACAACUCCUGACGCUGAGGCUCGAAGGCCAGGGGAGCGAAAGGG
rnacentral:rRNA from 1 species